rnacentral:rRNA from 1 species
UACGAAGGGGGCUAGCGUUGCUCGGAAUCACUGGGCGUAAAGGGUGCGUAGGCGGGUCUUUAAGUCAGGGGUGAAAUCCUGGAGCUCAACUCCAGAACUGCCUUUGAUACUGAAGAUCUUGAGUUCGGGAGAGGUGAGUGGAACUGCGAGUGUAGAGGUGAAAUUCGUAGAUAUUCGCAAGAACACCAGUGGCGAAGGCGGCUCACUGGCCCGAUACUGACGCUGAGGCACGAAAGCGUGGGAAGCAAACAGGG